AAUCUUAUGAAGCCGAAUUCCUGGGCACCAGGAAACGGGGGAACCAUCUUUGGGUGAAUUGAUCUCGCAAGUAAGGGAUCAUAGGGAACCUUCAACCGAACCCUCAGCUAACCUCGUAGGCAUUGGAAGGAGUACUA
rnacentral:sRNA from 1 species